AUUGAACGCUGGCGGCAUGCCUUACACAUGCAAGUCGAACGGUAACAGGUCUUCGGAUGCUGACGAGUGGCGAACGGGUGAGUAAUACAUCGGAACGUGCCCGAUCGUGGGGGAUAACGAGGCGAAAGCUUUGCUAAUACCGCAUACGAUCUACGGAUGAAAGCGGGGGAUCUUCGGACCUCGCGCGGACGGAGCGGCCGAUGGCAGAUUAGGUAGUUGGUGGGAUAAAAGCUUACCAAGCCGACGAUCUGUAGCUGGUCUGAGAGGAUGAUCAGCCACACUGGGACUGAGACACGGCCCAGACUCCUACGGGAGGCAGCAGUAGGGAAUUUUGGACAAUGGGCGAAAGCCUGAUCCAGCCAUGCCGCGUGCAUGAUGAAGGCCUUCGGGUUGUAAACUGCUUUUGUACGGAACGAAAAGCCUCUUUCUAAUAAAGAGGGGUCAUGACGGUACCGUAAGAAUAAGCACCGGCUAACUACGUG
rnacentral:rRNA from 1 species